ACCAUGGUUCCUUUUUUAAAAUAGCAUCAAAUAGAUGGUAGUGCUUACAGUAGGAGGGUUUUGCAGCCACAGCCUAGAAACAAGAGGACAGGUCUUACGGUUUGUCUGUAGUUAAUGUGCUUUAUCCUGUGUUAGUAUGGGCACCACAUGGUAUGAUCCGGGUUGCCCCUUUAUUCAACAGAUAUGAUUCCCACACCACCUGGAGAUGUCAGAAACUGUCAGCAACCAAAUGACGCUUUCAGAUGACGGCAUUGUCCCUUGAAGACCUCUGUUGAAAUCUUUGUUGCCUUGAAAAGAUAAUGUGAGGGAAGGAGAACACUGACUAAUGUAUCAAAUUGCAGAGAGAUUAACUCUUGGUGACCAAGAUCCCAAGAGAAGUCAGUCUUAGGACAGAGCAGUUUUGAUAUAAGGAAAGAGAAAACAAAGGUCAGAGAAUUUAUGGGAUGUGCCCUGAUAGGAUCCUUAAGUUGGGAGCCCUGAGAAGCCGAAGGAAUGAUGAGACACCCACUUUACUGAGGAAGUGGGGUGUGCUAUGAAAGAGUGCUUCAGGACCUUCCCUGACAACCAGCCUCCUCCUCAGCUGUGCCUGGACUCACCCUGUGUGAUACCAGGUGAAUAAUCCCAAAGGACUAGGAAACACAGCGUCCCCCAAAGCACGGUCGAUGCAGCCCUGUCCAACACAAAUGUAACAGGAGUCGCACAUGCAAUUUAAAAUCUUCUCAUAGCUGCAUUUAAAAGGCUCCAGCCUUAGCCUUAUCAGGCCUGCCUUUAGCAAGAAUCCUGCUGUCAGUUUGGAGAGAAUUUCUCACCCUCAAGAUACCUAAUCACCCUUGAUAACUUCUCACAUUCCCCACCCACCACCCUUGAUGUAUAAGUUGUUAGCCUGCCAUUAGCAAGAAUCUCCCUCCCCUUAAUGUCUCCUCUUAGUAACUUUUCAGCCGCUGACCCCCUCACUCUGCUCACUGACAAUAGAAAGCCCCACUCGUCCUUGGUGUAUUCGGAGUUGAGCUUGAUUUCUUUCUUACCAUUUUGAUCGUGUUGACUCCCUAUUGCCAAAGUCCUAAAUAAAAUCUUCCUUACUGCUU